rnacentral:lncRNA from 1 species
CAACAUAAAAAAGAGGAAGAAAAACAAAAGGGAAAAAUCAGCAACAACACACACACAACACGAGGGAAAAAAAAAACUUCCAAAGAAAGAACAAAAAAUCAGUUCCACCAUUUUCAAUUCAACAACAUAUAUACAUUUACAUUAUUCCAAUACUACUCCAAUACUCACAACACCAAAUACACCAAAAACUCUUUCCUUCCAGCAACACAAACAAACAAACAAAAAAAUCGCACAACAACAAAAGCAAACAAAAAAAAAAGAGUUGAGUUUGACGUUUUUGUUGGUGGUUUUGCAUUCGUGGUUCCGGCUGUGGUCAUUUCCUUGUGAAUUAAUUUUCACAAGAGGUAACACUUAAUUCUUUUAUAUAAUUUAAUGUCAUGAUUAUACAAGCAUUGGUUGCAAUAUAUUGAAAUUGUUAAAUUUCGUAUGUGUCUAAUUCAUUAAUAUUCAUUGAUGUUAUAAUAUGAAGUAAGUUCAAAUCUUUCAUAUCAACUUUAUGUUUAGAUCUUUUAUAUCAUUAGACUUAGUGCAAAAUUGUUAUAACAAACCUUAGUUUAUUUUAUGUUUAAACAAUCCAUGGUUUAUUUCAUGUUUAAGUUAAACUAUUGUCUACAUCUAUUCUUGUUUAUAUACUUUGAUUCUCUUAUGAUGAUACAUGUAUUUAUGGCUUAGCAAACUGAAAUGAUGAGAAUAAUUAAUGACAAAUACUUAUUAUGUAAAAUAUUGAUUUUAAUUAGUAGAUUUUUCUUUUCAUUUUAAUGACUAAAAUAAAGAAAAAUAAAAGAUUUUAGGUGCCCAUAAUUUCUAACAUGUUUAUACAAUUAUACUAAUGCAACAUGUGUAAAAUUUGUAUGGGAAGGUGUAUUAUUUUAAUUUAUAUUCUUAUUAAUAUUGUGUUCAUUCUUUUUUUAGAAAAACAUAAAAUAAAACUAAGAUAACAUGUAGUUUAGGCUUAUAAUAAUAAUAAUAAUAUGCAAAUAUUAAGAUCUAAAGAACAUUAAACUACUUUUAGUCUUGAAAUACAAACAAAUAAACAAUUUGCGACAAGGUUGGAAAGCGCUGCUAUCAAUACACCACACACUAAUAAAGAUAACACAGUUUUAACUAGUUUAAAAUAAAUCAAAGAAGGCGGGAUAUUAGUAAAUUUAUUACCCUCAUAAGUAUAAUAUAUCCAAAAUAAAGUCAAGUCAUAUACAAGUCAAUAGAGCGACUGUACUAGAACCACGGGACUCGAGAGGUGCCUCACACCUUCCCCUCGCUCAACAGAAUUCUUUACUUAGACUUCUAGUUCGCAGAUCAACAAAAUAAAGAGUCAAUUUCCUUUUGAUUAGGGAUUUAAAUAAGGUGUCUUGGAACACCAAAACUCAAUUCCAAGUGGCGACUAUGAAAUAAAAUAAUCUCUUUUCAAAAUGUCACUUCAAUUGGAAAAACUCUAUUUUCAAACAUUCGUUUUGGAAAGAAAUAGGGGUGUGACACAACUCCUUUAAAAAUCACCAAGAACCCUCUCUUUGACAAUAAGCAUCAUUCAAUCCCAAACCGCUCUAAUGAUGAAAACCUUAGUCUUGAAGCCACUCAUUCUUUAAUUCAGGGGAACCUUGCUUUACCUCUCAUAUCUGAACUAGGUUCACAAAUUCCAAAUUGGUAUUCCAUCCAUUCCAAGUGUAUAACCAAUUUUAUCUCUCAGGGGGGAACAAUUCUCAUAGGAAUAAACUAUUAUCGGUGCUUGCCUUCAUUAUUGAUAAACACAUCUCUAUUGCACCAAAAUGUGAUGAAUCUCUUGCUUAUUUUUGGUACUCCUUCGAAAUGUCAUCACAAAAAAGGCUAUAAAAAAAAAGGCCAUGGAGGAGUGAAAAUGUUAUGGAGUAGAAUUUAAAAAAAUGAAAAGUUCAAAAAGUAAAAAAGAUCUCCAUAACUCAUUUGUUAUUGGUCCUAAUGCUUGAGAAUACUCACCUGGUCUUCUUGAAUCUGAUUAUGCUUAACUGAUGAUGGACCUCAUGUUGCUCUUGAUGAAAUUUCACAAUCUAAGAAAACUGAUCAGAACGAAGGAGCUGGUGCACAAUGGGCAUACUGAAAAAUUAUUAAUGGCAGUAAAUAUCCCUUUCCUCCUCACUUUAGUAAUCUUCUUCCCAAUCCUUAUCCUCAAUUUUUUUUUCAGACUCUUUGAUGUGCUUAUGCCUGUCUCAUACUCAUGAUAUCAUAUGCUUUUGAUUUAGGGCUCUAAGGGUUUAAACUGGUACAUAUUUGUUUAUUUUUGUUUCUCAUUGAAGAUCUUGAAUAUAUGUGAGUUUAAGAUGGCUAAUAUCCUCAGAUUAACUUACUUUAUUGUUAGCAGAGGUGUAUUUGAAAGUGUUGCCCAAAUGGCCAUGAGUUAAAAUGAUAUUGCACUCAUGAAUGUUAAUCGAGUUCUAAUUUGGUUAUUGGUUUUCAAUGAUGCCAAAAGGGAGAAGCUAUAUGAUGUGGGUUAGUGACAUAUUAUACAUAGUUUGUCAUCACCAAAAAGGGGGAAAUUGCUGGGGAAUGAGACAACAUGAAUUUUGUAGUUUUGAUGAUUGACAAAGAAUCUUGAUGGUUUGUAGUUUUGAUGAUUGACAAAGAGUCUUGAUGUGUGACAAAUCAUUGUUUAUCAUCAUCAAAAAAGGGGGAAAUGUUGGGAAGUAGGAGAACAUAUAAAGUAGUUUUGAUGAUUGAUAAAGUGAACAUGGUUCACUACUUGUUGUCUUAUGUGUACUCUAUCAGGUGAACCAGGUUCUCAGACGUGAUUGCAGAUGACCUGUACAAUUAUGAGACAUUGCAGCAAAGAAGAAAAAGUGCAGAAAUAAAGAAGGAAAAGAAGGAAACAAAUAGGGAAAGAAAUAAAUAAGGAAAGAAAUAAAAAAGUAGCAAUUUAAGUCAAAUAAGGAAAUAAAUAAAGAAGUAACAAUUCAAGUCAAAUAAGAAAAGAAGUAAAUAUAGACAAGUUCAAGAAGGAAAAUGAUUUGUUAUUCCUUUCCUUGUAGAAGUUGAUGAAGGCAAAUCAAACUCUAUAAAAGGUUCAAGACAUUGAAGGAAAAAAGUCGUCUUUGCAAAAACACAAAUCGAGAGAAUUUUUCAGCAAAGCCAGAACAAUACCUAUUGUAUAUUCACGAAAUUUAUCAUCUUGAGAGCAGUAGUUAUUGGAGAAAAACGCAGGGCUUCGUCACAGCAACGUAAGGACUAGGUUCACGAGUUAUGUUCCAUUCUGAACUAUUGAAUGUUGAAAUCUGAUCAAUUAAAGUCUAGGGUUAUUAGUCUUUGUUGAUUUUUUCUAGGUUUAUUAUUGAGUUGUAAUAAUUCCUAGAUUGUGUAACAAGAAGUGGGUUUGACUUCUUGGAGAGUAGAGUCUUGAGAGAAUUGUAACAAGAAGUGGGUUUGACUUCUUGGAGAGUAGAGUCUUGAGAGAAUUGUAACAAGAAGUGGGUUUGACUUCUUGGAGAGUAGAGUCUUGAGAGAAUUGUAACAAGAAGUGGGUUUGAC